rnacentral:rRNA from 1 species
AACGAACGCUGGCGGCAUGCCUAACACAUGCAAGCCGAACGAGAUCUUCGGGUCUAGUGGCGCACGGGUGCGUAACGCGUGGGAAUGUGCCCUUUGGUUCGGAAUAACAGUUGGAAACGACUGCUAGUACCGGAUGAUGAGGACAGUGCAAAGAUUUAUCGCCAGAGGAUGAGCCCGCGUAGGAUUAGCUAGUUGGUGUGGUAAAGGCGCACCAAGGCGACGCUCCUUAGCUGGUCUGAGAGGAUGAUCAGCCACACUGGGACUGAGACACGGCCCAGACUCCUACGGGAGGCAGCAGUGGGGAAUAUUGGACAAUGGGCGAAAGCCUGAUCCAGCAAUGCCGCGUGAGUGAUGAAGGCCUUAGGGUUGUAAAGCUCUUUUACCCGGGAUGAUAAUGACAGUACCGGGAGAAUAAGCUCCGGCUAACUCCGUGCCAGCAGCCGCGGUAA